rnacentral:misc_RNA from 1 species
GGAUCUAUAUGAGCUUUAUAUAGAUCUUAUAUAUUACUAUCUUAAAUCUAUAAUAUUGGACUGAGUCUAAGUAAAAAUUUCCUAAAAAGGGAUAUAUGCUGCAAUGUUUAAAUGACACUGUCUUUACUUAAUUUGGAGCCCAGCAUUCAACAACUAAUAUUGAUGAAACGCCUCUAGUCCAUGGGCUUGUGUUAUGUCUUUUACAAGAUAAUAUCCAAAAUCCUUGCAAAGAAGCUACAACAGAUUAUCCUAUUAAUAGAGUGCCUUUUUAAGACGGUGGUUUAUUUCAGAUAAUGUAUUCAUGGCUCAUGAAUGAAUUAAUGCACCUUGAAGAAAAUAAGGAGAGGAGGUAGGAGAGAUAUAUGGCUGGCUAUCAAGCUCGAUAUGAGCAAGGACUAUGAGCAGGUGGAGUGGUCGUUUAUUGAGCAUAUGAUGUUGAAAUUAGGUUUUUCUCCUCAAUGGGUAUUUUGGAUCAUUCCCAGCAUUAAGAAAGAAGAUCAUGGUUUGAUCAAAUAAUCUUGCAGUAUCUGACAAGGGCACCCCUGUCUCCCUAUAUUUUCUUGAUGUGCGCAAAGUUAAUAUCUAAUCUAUUUACCCAGGUAGUGAUCAAAUGAGAGCUUAAUCUAUUAGCCCCUCCAUUUCUCAUUUGUGCUUCUCAAAUGAUGUGCUUUUAUUCUGUACUACAAAUAUGUAGAGUGUAAAUAAAGUCACCGAAAUCAUGGGGUUGUAUGAGAGGGCUUUUGGCCGGGAAAUUGACAAGGAGAUUCUUUUUUUCUAUUGAUUAGGCUUCGAUUAAGACUAGAAUUUGACACUUCAUAAUCCUAAAGAUAACUUUAAUAUCACUAAGCUAAAAUUUAUUGGUGAAAACGUUCUU